CGACUGCUGCGUGUUGGAUGCUCUUAUCUGCCGAUUAUGAUGAGCGGCAUGCUUGCGUGGAAGACUCUUACACAUGCCCUAAAUUCCACAAAAGUAAAGUCAUAAUAUGACAGAAUACAAUUUAUGCUAUCGGUAGGCCAUCAUUUAAGUAGGCAAUCGUCAUGUCCAAGUGUCAUUUCAGCAACUUAUGUACGGCAGCAACACUCACUAAGCGAACCUCAAGUCGCUUCACCAUUGUCAUGAUAGCCUAGAGACAUCAACUGCUCGUCACGUUAAAAUGUUGAUAAAUUUUAUAGAAAAAACAAGACGACGGACGAGCAGAUUCAGACAAGCAGAAGAAGCUAGGGGAGCUGGAAGCCUCGCGGAAAGCCUUUCUAGAACCUAUAUAAAAUAUUGCGAUAAUCCCCUCCACAAAUCUAAUAGGUGUCGUGUUGUCUGUCAGCUAUCUCUAGGCCCCUAUUCGGG
rnacentral:lncRNA from 1 species